rnacentral:rRNA from 1 species
ACUAGGAAUUUUGCGCAAUGGGGGCAACCCUGACGCAGCGACACAGCGUGGAGGAGGAAGGUCUUCGGAUUGUAAACUCCUUUUAUAUGGGAAGAAUAGAUGACUGUACCAUAUGAAUAAGCACCUGCUAACUACGUGCCAGAAGCAUCGGUGAUGAGUAGGGUGCGAACGUUAUCCGGAUUUAUUGGGCGUAAAGAGAUGCGUAGGCGUUUCAGUUAGUCUUUCGUUAAAAGUCACGGCUUAACCGUGAAGAUGCGUUGGAUACUGCUGAAAUUGAGACAUGAAGGGGUGAACGGAACUCCAAGUGGAGCGGUGAAAUGCGUUGAUAUUUGGAAGAACAUCAGAGGCGAAGGCGGUUCACUGGUCAUUGUCUGACGCUGAGAUGCGAAAGCCAGGGUAGCGAACGGGAUUAGAAACCCCGGUAGUCC